rnacentral:rRNA from 1 species
AUUGAACGCUAGCGGGAGGCUUAACACAUGCAAGUCGAACGAGUGGCGGACGGGUGAGUAAUGCUUGGGAAUCUGGCUUAUGGCGGGGGAUAACUACGGGAAACUGUAGCUAAUACCGCAUACCAUAGGAUGAGCCCAUGUGGGAUUAGGUAGUUGGUGGGGUAAAGGCUCACCAAGGCGACGAUCCCUAGCUGGUCUGAGAGGAUGACCAGCCACACUGGGACUGAGACACGGCCCAGACUCCUACGGGAGGCAGCAGUGGGGAAUAUUGCGCAAUGGGGGAAACCUGAUGCAGCCAUGCCGCGUGAAUGAAGAAGGCCUUCGGGUUGUAAAGUACUUUCGGUAGCGAGGCGGUAACUACAGAAGAAGCACCGGCUAACUACGUGCCAGCAGCCGCGGUAAUUC